rnacentral:rRNA from 1 species
GCAUGUGCACGCCUUGUCAUCUUUAUAUCUCCACCUGUGCACCUUUUGUAGACCUUUCAGGUCUAUGUUUGCUUCAUUUACCCCAAUGUAUGUUAAUAGAAUGUUGUGCCUAUAUAAUAUAUACAACUUUCAGCAACGGAUCUCUUGGCUCUCGCAUCGAUGAAGAACGCAGCGAAAUGCGAUAAGUAAUGUGAAUUGCAGAAUUCAGUGAAUCAUCGAAUCUUUGAACGCACCUUGCGCUCCUUGGUAUUCCGAGGAGCAUGCCUGUUUGAGUGUCAUUAAUAUCUAUAUCAACCCUCCUUCUCUUGUGUAGGAGUGGUUUGGAUUUGGGGGUUUGCUGGCCUCUUUAAAAGGUUCAGCUCCCCUGAAAUGCAUUAGCAGAACAAUCCUUGUUCAUUGGCGUGAUAACUAUCUAUGCUAUUGAAUGUGAGGUGCAGUUCAGCUUUCUAACAGUCCUUUGGACAAAUUUAUCAUUAAUGUGACCUCAAAUCACGUAGGGACUACCCGCUGAACUUAAGCAUAUCAU